AUGAAGGAGUACAUCGCGCGCUUCGGGCACGGGUCCGCCAAGCUGGCACGGCAGGCGCAGAGCAAGGAGAAGACGCUGGCCAAGAUGGAGCGCGGCGGGCUGAGGGAGAAGGUGGCGAGGGACAGGAUCCUGACGUUCCGCUUCGCGAAUGUGGGCAAGCUCCCGCCGCCGGCGCUGCAGUUUGUGGAGGUGACGUUCGGGUACACGCCGGACAACCUGAUCUACAAGAAGCUGGACUUUGGCGUGGACCUUGACUCGCGGGUGGCGCUGGUGGGUCCCAACGGGGCGGGUAAGAGCACGCUGCUGAAGCUGAUGACGGGGGAGCUGGUGCCGCUGGACGGGAUGGUGCGGCGGCACAACCACCUACGUAUCGCGCAGUUCCACCAGCACCUGGCGGAGAAGCUGGACCUGGACCUGUCUGCGCUGCAGUACAUGCUGAACGAGUACCCGGGCAACGAGGAGGAGCGGAUGCGGGCGGCCAUCGGGCGGUUCGGGCUGUCGGGCAAGGCGGCGGCACGGCACCAAACAGAUGCGUGCAACUUCAGCGGAAGGAAGGAAGGCUAUUAG
rnacentral:rRNA from 1 species